rnacentral:tRNA from 1 species
GCGGGUGUAGCACAGUGGUAGUGCGGUAGCCUUCCAAGCUAUUUACACGGGUUCGAUUCCCGUCACCCGCUCCG